ensembl:snRNA U6 U6 spliceosomal RNA
GUCCUGCUUCAUUAAGACAUACACUAAAAUUAGGACUAGACAGAGAAGAUUAGCUUGGCCCCUGCACAAAGAUGACAUGCAAAUUAUAAGGCAUUAAGUGCAACUCCCUAUUCAU